rnacentral:rRNA from 1 species
GGAUGAACGCUGGCGGCGUGCUUAACACAUGCAAGUCGAACGAAACACCUUAUUUGAUUUUCUUCGGAACUGAAGAUUUGGUGAUUGAGUGGCGGACGGGUGAGUAACGCGUGGGUAACCUACCCUGUACAGGGGGAUAACAGUCAGAAAUGACUGCUAAUACCGCAUAAGACCACAGCACCGCAUGGUGCAGGGGUAAAAACUCCGGUGGUACAGGAUGGACCCGCGUCUGAUUAGCUGGUUGGUGAGGUAACGGCUCACCAAGGCGACGAUCAGUAGCCGGCUUGAGAGAGUGAACGGCCACAUUGGGACUGAGACACGGCCCAAACUCCUACGGGAGGCAGCAGUGGGGAAUAUUGCACAAUGGGGGAAACCCUGAUGCAGCGACGCCGCGUGAGUGAAGAAGUAUCUCGGUAUGUAAAGCUCUAUCAGCAGGAAGAAAAUGACGGUACCUGACUAAGAAGCCCCGGCUAACUACGUGCCAGCAGCCGCGGUAAUACGUA